GUAGCUUUCUGGCUAUCUGGAGAAGCUGGAAGGACAUCCAAGCCUUCCCAUGUAGCGUAGCCGGUGAAAGCCGGUCUUGCCGAGAUACUCCUGCUACCUGAAUGUUUAGAAGUCUACCAAUAUUUCUCAACUGCUGUGGGAAGACCUACUAAAUACAUCAACACUGAGGUUAUAUUCAGUAGAGUGGAGAACUGGAAGAAGGCUUCAUGCAAAGAUGUGUAAAGCAGAGACACCAAUAUUGCAUUGCCUACCUUGUAUAUAGAGGACAUGACUAUGGCAGCCAUUUAAAUGCGAAUUACCAUCAUGGUUAAUAAUAAUAAUGAAAUAAGCAAUAUGCCAUUGAAGACAUAAGGAAAGCCACAGAGUCAGUAAAACUGGAGUUCAAGCUUUACUACAAUGAUGUUGGGAAAGCCACUUAGCCAGGAGCAAUUUGGAGGAAUUAAAGCCAUUGAAACACAGAAGACAAACAAUUCUCUGUAAGGACUCAAUAGCCUGUGUCAUCAACCAAAUCUACACACCCGUGAUCUUCUCUAAGCAGGUUCUUUACCAUGUUUUCCUGAGGUUUUAAAUAUUUCACAUCUGCUAGGCCACAUACACAGAAAUUUUACAAGGAGAAUGGAAAAUACCCAGUGUCAAAGAGAACUUGUUAAGGAUUCAGUGCAAGCAAUCAAGUAUAUGAAGCACUUUUGUGUAUGGCCAUGCUUUGGAUUAUCUUUAAAUAUAUUUCUUAUCCCUCUCAGACAAGUGAAGAAAAUAUAUUUUUCCACAUUUUUCAUUCACUUAUGUAAAUG